rnacentral:rRNA from 1 species
UACGGAGGUGGCAAGCGUUGCUCGGAAUCACUGGGCGUAAAGGGCGCGUAGGCGGAUUGUUAAGUCAGGGGUGAAAUCCUGGAGCUCAACUCCAGAACUGCCUUUGAUACUGGCGAUCUCGAGUCCGGGAGAGGUGAGUGGAACUGCGAGUGUAGAGGUGAAAUUCGUAGAUAUUCGCAAGAACACCAGUGGCGAAGGCGGCUCACUGGCCCGGUACUGACGCUGAGGUGCGAAAGCGUGGGGAGCAAACAGG